rnacentral:rRNA from 1 species
AGACCGCGAGGUUUAGCUAAUCUCUUAAAGCCGUUCUCAGUUCGGAUUGUAGGCUGCAACUCGCCUACAUGAAGUCGGAAUCGCUAGUAAUCGCGAAUCAGCAUGUCGCGGUGAAUACGUUCCCGGGCCUUGUACACACCGCCCGUCACACCAUGAGAGUUUGUAACACCCAAAGCCGGUGGGGUAACCGCAAGGAGCCAGCCGUCUAAGGUGGGACAGAUGAUUGGGGUGAAGUCGUAACAAGGUAGCCGUAGGAGAACCUGCGGCUGGAUCACCUCCUUU